UACGUAGGGGGCAAGCGUUGUCCGGAUUUACUGGGCGUAAAGAGCGUGUAGGCGGCCAGACAGGUCCGUUGUGAAAACUGGAGGCUCAACCUUCAGGCGUCGACGGAAACCGUCUGGCUAGAGUCCGGAAGAGGAGAGUGGAAUUCCUGGUGUAGCGGUGAAAUGCGCAGAUAUCAGGAAGAACACCGAUGGCGAAGGCAGCUCUCUGGGACGGUACUGACGCUGAGACGCGAAAAGCGUGGGGAGCGAACAGG
rnacentral:rRNA from 1 species